UCGGGGUACUCGAGCGGCGAACGGGUGAGUAACACGUGAGUAAUCUGCCCCAGGCUCUGGGAUAGCCACCGGAAACGGUGAUUAAUACCGGAUACGACAACCGAUUGCAUGAUCUGGUUGUGGAAAGUUUUUCGGCCUGGGAUGUGCUCGCGGCCUAUCAGCUUGUUGGUGAGGUAAUGGCUCACCAAGGCUUCGACGGGUAGCCGGCCUGAGAGGGUGACCGGCCACACUGGGACUGAGACACGGCCCAGACUCCUACGGGAGGCAGCAGUGGGGAAUAUUGGACAAUGGGCGGAAGCCUGAUCCAGCAACGCCGCGUGAGGGAUGACGGCCUUCGGGUUGUAAACCUCUUUCAGCACAGACGAAGCGAAAGUGACGGUAUGUGCAGAAGAAGGACCGGCCAACUACGUGCCAGCAGCCGCGGUAAUACGUAGGGUCCGAGCGUUGUCCGGAAUUAUUGGGCGUAAAGGGCUCGUAGGCGGUCUGUCGCGUCGGGAGUGAAAACCAGGUGCUUAACACCUGGCCUGCUUUCGAUACGGGCAGACUAGAGGUACUCAGGGGAGAAUGGAAUUCCUGGUGUAGCGGUGAAAUGCGCAGAUAUCAGGAGGAACACCGGUGGCGAAGGCGGUUCUCUGGGAGUAUCCUGACGCUGAGGAGCGAAAGUGUGGGGAGCGAACAGGAUUAGAUA
rnacentral:rRNA from 1 species